rnacentral:rRNA from 1 species
UGGGGAAUAUUGGACAAUGGGCGAAAGCCUGAUCCAGCAAUGCCGCGUGAGUGAUGAAGGCCUUAGGGUUGUAAAGCUCUUUUACCAGGGAUGAUAAUGACAGUACCUGGAGAAUAAGCUCCGGCUAACUCCGUGCCAGCAGCCGCGGUAAUACGGAGGGGGCAAGCGUUGUUCGGAAUUACUGGGCGUAAAGCGCGCGUAGGCGGUCGUAUAAGUCGGAUGUGAAAGCCCUUGGCUCAACCAAGGAACUGCGUCCGAUACUGUACGGCUUGAGGCUGGUAGGGGGUAGCGGAAUUCCCGGUGUAGCGGUGGAAUGCGUAGAUAUCGGGAGGAACACCGAUGGCGAAAGCGGCUACCUGGGCCAGAUCUGACGCUGAGGCGCGAAAGCUAGGGGAGCAAACAGGAUUAGAUACCCCAGUAGUCCCUGAGCGGGCUGGCAAGGCGCAU